rnacentral:misc_RNA from 1 species
GCCCCGCACAAUCAGGUGUCAAUGAUCCUGAACCAAGCCUUGAACGCAGCCCCACACCAUCUGGAGUCACGGAACCAGAACCAAGCCUUGAACCUAGCCCCACUCCAUCUGGCGUCAAAGAUCCAGAACCCAAUCUUGAACCCCAUUUACAAGUGGUAAAAUGUUCAAAGCCCAAGAGCUUGGGAGCUUCCCCCAUACGGAACUCAA